GUACACACCGCCCGUCACACCAUGAGAGUUGAGAAUACCCGAAGCCCCAUGUCAAAGUGGUCGAAGGUAGGCUUGAUGAUUGGGGUGAAGUCGUAACAAGGUAGC
rnacentral:rRNA from 1 species